AUGCCUUACGAUGAGAAUGACACAGCGUCCGCGUACUCCAGCAAGACCGCCUACGAUCGGAUGGAGAAAUUUAAAGGGAUGGCAAAAGAGUUGAAAGGGCCCGAGUAUGAUGUGACAACAGAGCCUCUUGACCACGCGUUGGUCAUGAUCUCUGGAGAAGGCAGGAAACAUGGCAAGGAAGCAAUUGCAGGAGGCAUGUUCCCUAGUUCCUCCAGUAGCUCUCUCCCUGAAUACAAAGCUCGGUUAGGUAUCUCAAAAUCUUCUACAUGUAAACGCUCGACUCCAACUAUGGUUGAGAUGGAGGCCCGACUGGCAGAGUUGAGGCGAGUGGCGGCGGAGGAGAGGGCGGAGGAGAGGCGACUGGCUGAUGAGAGGACGCAGCAAGCGGUGCAGCAGGCGGUGCAGCAGGCGGUGCAGCAGGCGGUGUUGGCACAAACUAGUCAAUGCUUUGCAAUGUUUGCGGCUUAUUGUACCCAGAAUGGUAUGCCCGCUAUGACGAUGCCUCAUCAAUCAGGCCAUGGAUCUAAUACUGAUGGAUCUUCACAUGCACGAGGCCCAAGCGACAACAACCUUGGUGGUUCUCCGAAUGUAUGA
rnacentral:rRNA from 1 species